GGUGUUUCUCGUCAAAAUAAAAGUACACAACAUGCACCAAAUUCUUCUGAAAGAAAAUUGAUUAGUUGAUUUAUUGAUUCAUGUGCUCAGAGUAGCAGGGGUUUGCUGAAAAAAAAGUUUGAGGCAGCUGUUGACUCAACUGGGCCAAGGAGAUAGAGGACUGGACAGGUAGCCAGUGGUCCAAGGUCCUCUUUUCCAAUGAAAUUAAAGUGUGCCUUUCAUCCGGAAAGCACAGUCAACGAAUUUGGCGGAAGACUGAUGAAGAAUAGAACCCAAGAUGCUUGAGGUCCAGUGUGAAAUAUCCACAGUCAGUCAUGAUUUGGGGUGCAACAUCCAUUGGAUCUGUAUGGAGAAGCAGAUUUCCUCUCCCAGCAAGACUUGGCCCCUGCCCAUACCAGAAGCACCAAAACCUUCUUUGAUGGCCAUAUCAUCACUGUGUUGGACUGGCCAGCCAACUGGAUGGAUCUCAACCCCCUUGAGAAUCUUGGGGGUAUUAU